UUCCCCCAGUAGCGGCGAGCGAACGGGGAGGAGCCCAGAGCCUGAAUCAGUGUGUGUGUUAGUGGAAGCGUCUGGAAAGGCGCGCGAUACAGGGUGACAGCCCCGUACACAAAAAUGCACAUGCUGUGAGCUCGAUGAGUAGGGCGGGACACGUGGUAUCCUGUCUGAAUAUGGGGGGACCAUCCUCCAAGGCUAAAUACUCCUGACUGACCGAUAGUGAACCAGUACCGUGAGGGAAAGGCGAAAAGAACCCCGGCGAGGGGAGUGAAAAAGAACCUGAAACCGUGUACGUACAAGCAGUGGGAGCCUCUUUAUGGGGUGACUGCGUACCUUUUGUAUAAUGGGUCAGCGACUUAUAUUCUGUAGCAAGGUUAACCGAAUAGGGGAGCCGAAGGGAAACCGAGUCUUAACUGGGCGUUAAGUUGCAGGGUAUAGACCCGAAACCCGGUGAUCUAGCCAUGGGCAGGUUGAAGGUUGGGUAACACUAACUGGAGGACCGAACCGACUAAUGUUGAAAAAUUAGCGGAUGACUUGUGGCUGGGGGUGAAAGGCCAAUCAAACCGGGAGAUAGCUGGUUCUCCCCGAAAGCUAUUUAGGUAGCGCCUCGUGAAUUCAUCUCCGGGGGUAGAGCACUGUUUCGGCAAGGGGGUCAUCCCGACUUACCAACCCGAUGCAAACUGCGAAUACCGGAGAAUGUUAUCACGGGAGACACACGGCGGGUGCUAACGUCCGUCGUGAAGAGGGAAACAACCCAGACCGCCAGCUAAGGUCCCAAAGUCAUGGUUAAGUGGGAAACGAUGUGGGAAGGCCCAGACAGCCAGGAUGUUGGCUUAGAAGCAGCCAUCAUUUAAAGAAAGCGUAAUAGCUCACUGGUCGAGUCGGCCUGCGCGGAAGAUGUAACGGGGCUAAACCAUG
rnacentral:rRNA from 1 species